rnacentral:rRNA from 1 species
GCAAGUCGUGCGCGAAAGUGGGCUUCGGCUCACGAGUAGAGCGGCGAACGGGUGAGUAACGCGUGGGUGAUCUACCUCCGAGUGGGGAAUAACACCGGGAAACUGGUGCUAAUACCGCAUGACAUCCUCGGUUCGUUCCGAGGAUCAAAGCCGGGGACCGCAAGGCCUGGCGCUUGGAGAGGAGCCCGCGUCCGAUUAGCUUGUUGGCGGGGUAAUGGCCCACCAAGGCUUCGAUCGGUAGCCGACCUGAGAGGGUGAUC